CUUCUCUUCAAAAGACCAUGUUAAGAAUAUUGAAAAUAUGUACAUAGCAAAUAUGUAUGUAGCAGAAGAUAUGUAUAUAGUAAGUGAUGGUUAUAAAGAAGAAGAAAAAAAUUUAAAAAAUAAAACUAAGUAACAGGAGAAAAUACAAGAGAAUUUGACUGUAGCAGGAGAAGAAAGGAAAGAAAUGAACCAAUACAAAACAAAAAUAAACCAAAAACCCUAAUCCUCAAAAGACAAGGAAAAAUAACUAUCAUAAAAAUGAGAAAAAAAGAAACAAAUAUGUAUGUAUACAUAUACCCACGUGUGUGUGUACACAAACCAAUCAUCACAGCAAGAACACCAAAAGAAGAAAGAAAAAGAUUCUUAAUUAAAAUAAAAGAAUUGUCUCCAAAGAGCUGAAAAGGGUGGAUGGUUACUGCCUAUGCCCCACUGUUCUUCUUUCUACUUCUUUGUUUUGCCAAAAUAUUCACUUGCGUGUCCAGAUGACCCCUGCAUCUGGACAGCACAACUAUUCCACCAUAUAUCCCUAGACAUCUCCAUCUUUCAAAUUGUAUUUUCCGGCUUGGGUAGGAUCAGGGAAUGCAUGUCGCUGCCUCUCUCUUCCCAGUGUGAGGCUUCAUGCUGUCUGCUCCUUUCCUGUGUUUCUAGUUCUUGAGCUUCCAAGAGUUUGCUAACUAAUUUUAAUAAAACUGUUUUUCAAGUGUAGUUGAUUUUCCUUCUGUUGAUAUUUUUCACUUUAUAUCUCCAUGCAUUCCCAACACUAUUUUUAUCUUUUCAGCUCUUGUACAUAUUUAUAGGAGACAGGUAAAAUUUCAUAAGCCAGAUCCAGAAGGCAAGAAUCUUAACAGCUUCAAAUUACUUUCUUCCCAGGACCUAAAACAUACUUUGAGGAGCUCUGAGCAUGUUACGAGCCUCUCCCGUCUUAUCUCAUUCCAGCAGUUUCAUAUACUAAAUAAAAUAAUAUCUAAAGUAGAAAAGUCAGUUAAUACUUCCUGUGAUCUCAGUCACUACUUUGAACUCAUUUGAGUUCAACAUGCUUUGAAAACUUGGAUCGCUAGGGAAGUGAUAAAACUUAUUUAGCUAAAUUUAUAAAGAUCAGUGAAAAUAUUCAUUCAGAACACUACCUGCC
rnacentral:lncRNA from 1 species